ensembl:lncRNA
GUCCUGGAGUCAUUAGGGCAGGUGACCAAAGGCUAGGAGUGUGAGAGCUGAUAAAGGAGAUGCUUGGGGUGCGGAUUCAUUGGUUUGUAUUUGAGAAGCACCCUCAUGGAUAAGUUGUUUAUUUUCUCUACAGACUGGCUAAUCCUGGGAGGGGCAGUCCCUCUGGUCCUGCAAGGCCUCAGAGGUCAAAGCAUCAGAAGACAGAAAAUGAAAGACAUGGUCCAUGCACGAGGACAGCAUGGCCUGAUAGAGAGCACCCGGCCAAGGAUACAUCUUGAAGCGGUUCCUGUUCUCCAUUUCCAUUGCUCCCUCCUGGUCCAGGUCACCAGCCUGCCUCACCUGGGCUGCAGCAACACGUUCCCACCUGGUUCCUCUGCUUCCACCUUUCCCCUUCCAUUAUCAACCUCUACUCAGCAGCCAGAGGGAUUCUGAAGGCCACCUGAUAAGCUCUCUGGAGUUCAGUUUCCGAAGUGCAAAAGGAUGGACUGGACCAGAUAACUUCUAAGACCACUUUCAACCCUGACACCUUUUCCCUUUUUUAAAAGAAACACUUUUUUUUUGAGAUAUGUCACAUACUAUAAAAUUUAUCCAAAGUGUACAGUGUUUUAUAGUAUAU